rnacentral:RNase_P_RNA from 1 species
GUGGUUGGAGGCUGAUUGCAGAGGGCACAUGUGCCAACCACUUCAGGAAAAACCUGAGCAACACGAGCCAAAAACCACCCCAGCAGGGCAGCACCCCAUGAGGGUGACAUGAGCUGCCCCACUGGAGAAGCCAGAGGGCGCCACUGGUGGAUGUGAUGCUCCAUGGCCUGAAAUCACCUGCAAAAUAUGAGGUGGAGCACAACACCAAAACCCAACCCAGACCACUCUCCACCCAC